UUUUUUUAGUUAUGAUUAAAAAUAUAACCUGCCCACUGAAAAUAUUUAAAGGGCCGCGGUAUUUUGACCGUGCAAAGGUAGCAUAAUCAUUAGUUUUUUAAUUGGGAACUGGUAUGAAUGGUUGGACGAAAUAUAUACUGUCUUUUUUUGAUUAUUUAGGAAUUUAAUUUUUAGAUAAAAAAGUCUAAAUUUUUUCAUGGGACGAGAAGACCCUAUAGAGUUUUAUAAUUUAUUUAAUUUGGUUUUAUGAAGGGAGUAAUUAAUAAUUAUAUAAAUUAUUUGGUUGGGGUGACAGUAAGAUUAAAUUAACUCUUAUUAAUUAGUUAUAUUUAUUUAUAAAUUUAUGAUCCAUUAUUAUUGAUUAUAAGAUAAAAUUACCUUAGGGAUAACAGCGUAAUUUUUUUGGAAAGUUCAUAUUGAUAAAGAAGAUUGCGA
rnacentral:rRNA from 1 species